UCUCCCAAAUUAAUUCCCGCUCACUCGCUCCCUCCCUCCCAGUAUUUGGAUUUCCGAGUUCCCACACCAGAGAUUAACUUCCCUCUCCUUCUCCCUGACCUAAUUGGACGACGUCACCCAAUGACUGGCGACGGUUCUUGGCAGCAUCGAUGAAGGGGAUUCUAGAGCAGAAAAGACAUCUCUGCUUCACUUUUGCUACUUGGUAAGUGGUUAUUAUUGUAUUAAUUGUUCCUUGUUUUCAUUUUGAUCAAUAUAAUCUAACUUAGAUAAAUCCAAGAUUAUUGAACUAACUUAGAGGACUUUGUAGAUGAUGUACAGAAAUAUCUUGGUUACUAACAACAUGCCUACCAAGUGCUCGAUGAUUUGCUUACCACUAGGGACAUGAUUUGUUUGUUUCUAACCCUAAACCACUGAUGGUCCAUGAAUUUUUAUUCUGAUUUGCAAAUGGCUACUCAAAAUUUGUAUGUUUUCUUUAUCAGAUAGUUUCAUUUAUUCCUAAUUGUAAUUGUGUUAAGGUUCGGUUUCAAUGCUUUCGAUUUGUCUAUCUAGAACUCUAGGCACUGAGUUUUGUUCUUUUAGGGUUGUGGAAGGUUGUGGGUUUCUUUUCUAUUUGCAAAUAGCCACAUUGUUAAAGCACUAAGUUUUUGAAGUACUGGUGUGUUGAUUUUGUUCCCAACAGCAAAUAUCUUUGUGUAGAUGAUCAUCAUCAAAAUCAGAGCACGUAUUGUUUUGUAAGUCAUUCUCUUUAACCCCUCUAACUUUAAAGUAAAACACACGCACACACGUGGUUAUGAACAAGUUGUUUUUAAUUUAUUUGUUUUAGUCAAUUGUACGGAACUUGAUCUUUGUUUUUUCAACUUUUUUCUUUUAUACUUUUGUAAGUAAAUUGUUCUUUUUAAAACAUUAGUUCCGUCUUUUGAACGUCUAAGAGCAUUCACAUCCCAUCUAUCAUCCCUUAACCCAUCUUUAAAUUUAAAAAAAAAUGGUGUGUGUUUAGGUUAGACAACCUGGUCCGUGAAUAAGGGCGAAAUGGCAUCCCAAAUGCUUUAGUCAUCUCACUUGUCGAUUCGGCCUCUAAUUCCCUUUCUAAUUAGCCUGUGAGUUCCACUUUUAUUAUACACUGUCGAUAUUGUAUAUAUUGGUAUAUAUUGUACACUUACUGAUGUUAUUAACUUGUAUAACAUGUGAUGGUUGAGCCUUAAUGAUUAAAUUCUUUUUAUAAGGUGGAGAAACUCGAAACUGGUGAUGAUCUACCCUACAGAAUGGCGGUUCAUCCUGGUGGAGAAGGUGUAAUUUGUUCGUUGCUAAAAAGUUGCAGGUAAUUCUGAAUGUGAAAAUCGACAGAAAAAAGUGAAUUAACUAAGUUAAAGCUUUUCUAUUGGUGAUAUGCUGUUACUGUUAUAAAUUCGGUUGCCAAAUGGUUUGAAUGGGACACAAUUCAGAGUGAAGAUACCAUUGAAUUGAGUCUAAAGCCAUCUGAGAAAGUUUUUGACCAAUUGGAAGUUGUUGGUCAACAAUUAGCGGUUACUUUUAGCCAGGAUGGUUCUCUACUUGUAGUUGGUGACUUGGUGAGGUAAAGGCCAUCUUUCACAUGUUUAUCAAAAACUAAUACAUAGGGUUCGGUUCAAUUAACCAUCCAGUUAUUGUGCAGUACAUGAUGGUACAUUGAGGGUGUUCAAGUGGCCUAGCAUGGCAUUAGUCCUUGAUGCGCCUAAGGCUCAUACGUCUAUGAAAAAAAUAGAUUUUAGGUUAACUUUAGUUUCUUCGUCAGGCUUUAGAUUUUUUUUUUGUCUGAUGUUUAUUGGUAUUUAUCUGUCUCAGUCCUGACGGAAAAUAUCUUGCGUCGGUUGGAAGUGGCCCUGGUACGGUUUGGGAUAUCUCAUCGUCAAUAGCCAAAGCUUCUUUAUCAAAAGAAAAUAGUGAUCCCUUUCUCUAUGUCGCUGCAAUGCGAGGUUGAAUAUAGUGAAUUGGCUGAUGCGGCGACAAUAAGGAGCAAGUGCAGGGAACAACUAUGAAGUGUGAAAUACGAUCGCUAAGAAAGAGUUAACAUAAUGAAUAUUUUACUCGCAUGAAGAUUGUGAAAGAGAUUCAUGAGCGCCAUGGAGUUUUGAGUUUUUGUGCAAAUAUUUUUUAAAUAUUUGUUUUGUAUGUUCGAUAUUUAGACUUAGGUUGACACUUAUUAGUUAUUUCUUUGCAAACAUUUGGAAUCUUUGAAAGAUGAUUGAUUGAAUUUU
rnacentral:lncRNA from 1 species